rnacentral:lncRNA from 1 species
GGAGCAAGAAGUGGCCCGCCGGAGGGCUGUACUCCUCCCCACCGCCGCCGCCCCCGCCCGCCGGGAGAAGGGUUGCGGCGACGCGACGCCCCGCCGGAGAGAGAAGGUCAGAUUCCAGCCGGAGAGAGAAGCGGCCACCGGAGGACUCAUCCGAGAAGAGGGGAGAUGCCCAGAUGGAGGAAUCGAAUACUCAAUGAUUUUUAGGGGAUAUCCCCCCCUUCGUCUCGGCCGAUCGGGCUCUCCCCAGAAAACCUAAAUCUCAGAGCCCCAUUUACGGCGGAGAGAGGAUAUCUCUUCACAGGUCAGAUCCCUCCCUCGGCGGCGCCGCCGGCAAGAGGACGAUCCACGGUGGGGGGAGGAGGUAGCAAAGGGAGCGAGCGGCGGCCACUGAUUCUUCUGGGGGCGAGGAGGGAGGAGAAGAUAAACCAGAGGAACAGGACAGAGCGUAACUAUGACCUUUCGAGCCCGUUAUCUCCUUCCUCCGCUAUGACUGACCUGCCAUUUUUGGAAAAAAUCAACCAAUGAGAAGACCAGACCAGAUAUCAUCAACACGCCCUCUCUCUCUCUACUUUUGUUUACUCUCUGAUAUUUCAAAAAGCGGAG